CCUACGGGUGGCAGCAGUGAGGAAUAUUGGUCAAUGGGCGUUAGCCUGAACCAGCCAAGUCGCGUGAAGGAUGAAUGUUCUAUGGAUCGUAAACCUCUUUUAUAUGGGAAUAAAGUGCGGGACGUGUCCCGCUUUGCAUGUACCUUAUGAAUAAGGAUCGGCUAACUCCGUGCCAGCAGCCGCGGUAAUACGGAGGAUCCGAGCGUUAUCCGGAUUUAUUGGGUUUAAAGGGUGCGUAGGCGGCCUGUUAAGUCAGCGGUGAAAGUCUGCGGCUCAACCAUAAAAUUGCCGUUGAUACUGGGAGGCUUGAGUAUGUUAGAGGUAGGCGGAAUGCGUGGUGUAGCGGUGAAAUGCUUAGAUAUCACGAAGAACUCCGAUUGCGAAGGCAGCCUGC
rnacentral:rRNA from 1 species